AGACCCGAAACCCGGUGAUCUAGCCAUGGGCAGGUUGAAGGUUGGGUAACACUAACUGGAGGACCGAACCGACUAAUGUUGAAAAAUUAGCGGAUGACCUGUGGCUGGGGGUGAAAGGCCAAUCAAACCGGGAGAUAGCUGGUUCUCCCCGAAAGCUAUUUAGGUAGCGCCUCGUGAAUUCAUCUCCGGGGGUAGAGCACUGUUUCGGCUAGGGGGCCAUCCCGGCUUACCAACCCGAUGCAAACUGCGAAUACCGGAGAAUGUUAUCACGGGAGACACACGGCGGGUGCUAACGUCCGUCGUGAAGAGGGAAACAACCCAGACCGCCAGCUAAGGUCCCAAAGUCAUGGUUAAGUGGGAAACGAUGUGGGAAGGCCCAGACAGCCAGGAUGUUGGCUUAGAAGCAGCCAUCAUUUAAAGAAAGCGUAAUAGCUCACUGGUCGAGUCGGCCUGCGCGGAAGAUGUAACGGGGCUAAACCAUGCACCGAAGCUGCGGCAGCGACGCUGAUGCGUUGUUGGGUAGGGGAGCGUUCUGUAAGCCUGCGAAGGUGGCCUGUGAGGGUUGCUGGAGGUAUCAGAAGUGCGAAUGCUGACAUAAGUAACGAUAAAGCGGGUGAAAAGCCCGCUCGCCGGAAGACCAAGGGUUCCUGUCCAACGUUAAUCGGGGCAGGGUGAGUCGACCCCUAAGGCGAGGCCGAAAGGCGUAGUCGAUGGGAAACGGGUUAAUAUUCCCGUACUUGGUGUUACUGCGAAGGGGGGACGGAGAAGGCUAUGUUGGCCGGGCGACGGUUGUCCCGGUUUAAGCGUGUAGGUGUGUGUUCCAGGUAAAUCCGGUUCACUUUAACACUGAGGCGUGAUGACGAGGCACUACGGUGCUGAAGCAACAAAUGCCCUGCUUCCAGGAAAAGCCUCUAAGCAUCAGGUAACAUCAAAUCGUACCCCAAACCGACACAGGUGGUCAGGUAGAGAAUACCAAGGCGCUUGAGAGAACUCGGGUGAAGGAACUAGGCAAAAUGGUGCCGUAACUUCGGGAGAAGGCACGCUGACACGUAGGUGAAGUGAUUUACUCAUGGAGCUGAAGUCAGUCGAAGAUACCAGCUGGCUGCAACUGUUUAUUAAAAACACAGCACUGUGCAAACACGAAAGUGGACGUAUACGGUGUGACGCCUGCCCGGUGCCGGAAGGUUAAUUGAUGGGGUCAGCGCAAGCGAAGCUCCUGAUCGAAGCCCCGGUAAACGGCGGCCGUAACUAUAACGGUCCUAAGGUAGCGAAAUUCCUUGUCGGGUAAGUUCCGACCUGCACGAAUGGCGUAAUGAUGGCCAGGCUGUCUCCACCCGAGACUCAGUGAAAUUGAACUCGCUGUGAAGAUGCAGUGUACCCGCGGCAAGACGGAAAGACCCCGUGAACCUUUACUAUAGCUUGACACUGAACAUUGAGCCUUGAUGUGUAGGAUAGGUGGGAGGCUUUGAAGUGUGGACGCCAGUCUGCAUGGAGCCGACCUUGAAAUACCACCCUUUAAUGUUUGAUGUUCUAACGUGGACCCGU
rnacentral:rRNA from 2 species